CAGCAGCCGCGGGAAUACGUAGUGUGCAAGCGUUAAUCGGAAUUACUGGGCGUAAAGCGUGCGCAGGCGGUUAUAUAAGACAGAUGUGAAAUCCCCGGGCUCAACCUGGGAACUGCAUUUGUGACUGUAUAGCUAGAGUACGGCAGAGGGGGAUGGAAUUCCGCGUGUAGCAGUGAAAUGCGUAGAUAUGCGGAGGAACACCGAUGGCGAAGGCAAUCCCCUGGGCCUGUACUGACGCUCAUGCACGAAAGCGUGGGGAGCAAACAGGAUUAGAUACCCCCGUAGUCCCUGUCUCUUAUAC
rnacentral:rRNA from 1 species